rnacentral:tRNA from 1 species
GGGGAUGUAGCUCAGCGGUAGAGCGCUUGCCUAGCAAGCACAAGGUACUGGGUUCGGUCCCCAGCUCCG